rnacentral:rRNA from 1 species
UACGAAGGGGGCUAGCGUUGUUCGGAAUUACUGGGCGUAAAGCGCACGUAGGCGGAUAUUUAAGUCAGGGGUGAAAUCCCAGAGCUCAACUCUGGAACUGCCUUUGAUACUGGGUAUCUUGAGUAUGGAAGAGGUAAGUGGAAUUGUGAGUGUAGAGGUGAAAUUCGUAGAUAUUCGCAAGAACACCAAUGGCGAAGGCAGCUUGCUGGCAUGUAUCUGACGCUAAGGCACGAAAGCGUGGGGAGCGAACAGG